GACAGAGGGUGCAAACGUUGUUCGGAAUUACUGGGCGUAAAGCGCGUGUAGGCGGCAGGGCAAGUCGGAUGUGAAAGCCCACGGCUCAACCGCGGAAGUGCACCCGAAACUGCCUCGCUAGAGUCUCGGAGAGGAAGGUGGAAUGCUUGGUGUAGAGGUGAAAUUCGUAGAUAUCAAGCGGAACACCGGUGGCGAAGGCGGCCUUCUGGACGAUGACUGACGCUGAGACGCGAAAGCGUGGGGAGCAAACAGG
rnacentral:rRNA from 1 species